rnacentral:rRNA from 1 species
UUGAACGCUGGCGGCAUGCCUUACACCUGCAAGUCGAACGGCAGCACGGGUGCUUGCCCCUGGUGGCGAGUGGCGAACGGGUGAGUAAUACAUCGGAACAUGUCCUGUGGUGGGGGAUAGCCCGGCGAAAGCCGGAUUAAUACCGCAUACGAUCUACGGAUGAAAGCGGGGGACCUUCGGGCCUCGCGCUAUAGGGUUGGCCGAUGGCUGAUUAGCUAGUUGGUGGGGUAAAGGCCUACCAAGGCGACGAUCAGUAGCUGGUCUGAGAGGACGACCAGCCACACUGGGACUGAGACACGGCCCAGACUCCUACGGGAGGCAGCAGUGGGGAAUUUUGGACAAUGGGCGAAAGCCUGAUCCAGCAAUGCCGCGUGUGUGAAGAAGGCCUUCGGGUUGUAAAGCACUUUUGUCCGGAAAGAAAUCCUUGGCCCUAAUACGGUCGGGGGAUGACGGUACCGGAAGAAUAAGCACCGGCUAACUACGUG